CGGGGUAGAUGCUAAAUCCAAACUGAAACGUACAGGGCUGGAUGAUUGAAGCACCAGCGGGAACUAGUCGGACCUCCGAGCUCUUUAAACUGUCCUCAGCCUUCCCCGUGGGCUCGGCUGGUUCUCCACGAGCUCCGGGCAGACGGGGGAGGGGGUCGGCGUUUAAGUCAAAGGCCUUGGGGCUCCGAGUCCCUUCCUUUCCCCGUCCUGUGAAGGCGCGACCCAGUUCAGCUGUCUGUAAAGUGGAGCCAUUAGUCCCUGCCUCGUAGUGGGAAAACUGGGAGGCGGAACGAGGAGGCCGCCGGUCCCAACCCGGCCCAGGAGCAUCUUUCUCCGCAGACUGUUUCCUGGCGAGAUCCUGCGCAGCCGAGGCUGUGUUAGCGCCAAGGACUUCCAGCAGCUGUUAGCAGAGCUUGAGCAGGAGGUGGAGCGGCGGCGGCGGCUGGGGCAGGAGUCAGCAGCUAGGAAAGCCCUCAUCGCGAGUUCCUACCACCCGGCACGGCCUGAGGUCUACGACUCACUGCAGGAUGCAGCUCUGGCUCCCGAGUUCCUGGCCGUGACUGAGUACAGCGUGUCCCCAGGCGCAGACCUCAAGGGCCUUCUCCAGCGGCUGGAGACAGUAUCGGAGGAGAAGCGCAUCUACCGGGUGCCUGUGUUCACAGCGCCCUUCUGCCAGGCCCUGCUGGAAGAGCUGGAGCACUUCGAGCAGUCGGACAUGCCUAAGGGGAGGCCCAACACCAUGAACAACUACGGGGUGCUGCUGCACGAGCUCGGGCUGGACGAGCCGCUGAUGACACCACUGCGGGAGCGCUUCCUGCAGCCGCUGAUGGCCCUGCUGUACCCUGACUGUGGCGGGGGCCGGCUCGACAGCCACCGGGCCUUUGUGGUCAAAUACGCGCCGGGCCAGGACCUGGAGCUGGGCUGCCACUAUGAUAAUGCUGAGCUUACCCUCAAUGUGGCCUUGGGCAAGGUCUUCACGGGGGGCGCCCUGUAUUUUGGGGGCCUCU
rnacentral:sRNA from 1 species